UUUUGAAAAAAAAACGAUCAACCACUGUUUCGCUGUUGCAAAGUCCCUCGAUAAUUCAUCAUAAACUAAAGGAACACAGGUCAGAUUCGGACAACGACUUCAAAGUCAUUUGCAGAAUAGGCUAAACAAUUGGACGACGGAUACACUGGAUGAUAAUGUAGAUGGUCCAGGAUUAUCAGGGAAGGAUACUACAGGUGCUGAACACAGAAAACCGUUUACAAGAAAACAACUGGAGUUUGUGAAAGCUUCAAGGAAUUAAUCCUGCUGGGUACCCAUUCACUUUACCUUGCUCGAGUGCAGCAAAGUGUGGAUAAAUGUGUUGCUGAAGGAAAACACCAUUGCUAGGAUUUGAACCCAUGACCCUCUGUUUGAAAGGUGAGAGACAGAACCACUUGACCACGACGCACCCACAAUUUACAAGCUGAUGUCAUAUUCCCACUUGUUCUUUUGUAUUUUAAAACAAGAAGUCCUGUUUAUUCACAUUUUGACCUCCAAGAACUAAAUAGUGGAGUGAAAAUGUAUUUAAUGUGAACAUAUGCAUUGCUGGAAAUCACUUCAUGAUAUGUGGGACAAAUCAUACACACGUGUAUGAAAAUAUGAAAUGAUUAUGAUUUCAUUUAAUUACAUAAGCCUAACAAAUAUUCCUGACGAUCGUGUGCACAUUCCAGUAAUAUUUCCCAAAAUGUUGCUAAACUUUCAAAUUAAAGACUUCGUUAUCAGAUUUUAAUGAAAUUGUCAACAUUAUGCUUUUCUGAUUCAUUCUCUUCCUACCUAAAUCUCCCAUUUUCUCAUGCUUUCUUUCUAUGGUCCCCUUCAUUCUCCUUAUCACUAUGUUAUAGGUAAAAUGUAACCGGUCGUCUAACACAUUUGAUUGAAGGGUUAGGUACUCACAUUUAAAAGUUAUGUGAUUCAAACACACAAAGUGUACAUCAGACAAAAAAAAAACACUGAAAAUUUCAUCAAAAUUGAAUGAGUAUUAACGAAGUUAUGACGAAUUAAUGUUGUUAAUUUUUUUGGUAAAACAAUCAUAAUUUAUAUAUUUUUUUGUAUUAUAUGAAUUCAAAUUUUGUCAGCUAGGUUGUAAGAAUUUACGAUUGACUACUGAUUUACUGUGUAAGACAAUAAUCUUAUUAUUUCUCACACAUAGAUAAGUAAUUCAUCUGAUUCAACACAACAAAAAAGAAACAAGUGUAUCUUGUAUUUAUUGUUUUAUAUAUAUUUUGCAAAAUAUUAGAAAAAGAGGUCUCUAUUUUUCUUCUGUUUUUUUCAGUAUUUCAAAUUGAAUAAUUUCUUUUUCCUAUUUUCAUUAUAUUAUCUUUCUAUUUGUGAUAAUUCAUUUAUUUCUUUAUGUAUCUUUAUUGUAUUUAUGAUAAAAUUUUGGCGUGUUUCUACAGAAAUCAUUAAGAAACGGUUUAUCUUUACCCGAUUCGAAAUAACCUUAUCGCCCUUAAACCAACCUGUUUCUACAGACUGAACAAUCUGAUUAACUCGCAUUUCGCGUCACAAAUACGGCGGAAAUCGGAAAAUUCAACCUAUAACCUCACAUAGCAUCUCGCUAGGAAAAUUUUCAAAUUUUAUGGUAGAUCUCACUCAAUGUAGCAGGUAUACACAUUGUGCGAUCAGCUGGCAAGAUCGAAAAGGCCAGAAUAUAUGCAUACUGCGAAAUUGCACUUCCGGGUUCAAGCACUUCCGCCAGACACAAUACGCUAUUUUGCCCUGUGUUUUUACAGAAAAUUUAAACGGAUUAACAUGGCAAUAACCACCUCUCAGAGAUGGUUAUGACAAACCGUAUUUUGCGCGAUGCAGUUUAUCAAUAAACCGCAUCGCGUCUGUUUCUACAGGAAAGUUUUCCGGGAUUCUGGAUACUUACGCGUGUAAUACCUUUUAACGAUUCUAUGUAGAAACACGCCGUUUGAUAAUCUUUUUAGGUGAAAAGAAAAUAGAGAACGAUUUUGGGGUUCUAUUUUUUUUUUUUGGGGGGGGUACUAUUAUCCCCCUUUUGGGGAUAAUUAAUUUCUUCUAGGUUUGGUACCCUUUAUUCAUUUGGCCAUGUGAAGGCUAUCACACAUUUUGAGUUUAAUCUUCGAAACUUGGUGUUCAUUAGUUUGUUGUCCAAACUAUGUCUUUCAUGUAAAUUUGUUUAUAGGAAGAUUAACAUAAUAUCUAUGUGGAGUGCAAUCAUUGAUCUCUUGUAGAGCCGCACAGUCACAUGUAUUCAUAAUACUGGUGCUUUUAUGCCAUACUUGUCAAUACUCUUUUGUACUUAAACUUAUUAGUAAAAAAAAAUGUUUUAUUAAUGUAUGCAGAACAGUGGUUUUGCCAGGUACUCAAUCCAUGUAAAAAAAGCAAUCAGAGAGAAGAGGUUUAUUCUUGAAAAUGUUAGUCUUCAUUUGUUGUGUUUUUCAAUCAAACUCAGUCUUGAUACAUGUUUAUUUUUAGAUACCAAGAUUGACAGAAUAUAGAUGUCAUCGAGUAGCAAAGUCAUAUAUAUUCAUAACUUAUGUGCUUUAAUGAUAAAGUCUAUACUUGUGAAUACUCUGUGCUAUUUAUGCUUAAACUUCUUAUAGUAAAAACAUUUUAUUGACGUUCUUG